CUCGUGACCAGUGCGGCCGAGCGCGGUGGGGGUUCGGGGUGCCUGGAGCCGGCGCCGGCCGGCGCCGCCGGUCACGCCGGCGUCCCGAGA
rnacentral:tRNA from 1 species